GGCAACAGUCGCGCAAAGUCGAUUGGUGGUUACCGGUCUUACAGUUUGAAUCAUCACGCAGGCAAAAUGUGCCGAGCUAUACUGCCAAGAGCCGCGAUGGAAGACCCGAAAAAUCAACAAGUUUCCGAGGCAACGUCGCGCACCGAUUGGGUGGCUACCGGUCUCUAGAUAUGAAGAAAUGAGCAGAGCUAUACUGCCAAGAGCCGCGAUGGAAGAC